UACGGAAGGGGCAAGCGUUGUUCGGAAUCAUUGGGCGUAAAGGGCGCGCAGGUUGCUCUGUAUGUCUACUGUGAAAGUGUACGGCUUAACCGUAUUUUGUCGGUAGAAACUGCAGAACUUGAGGCUGGGAGGGGCUGGUGGAAUUCCCUGUGUAGCGGUGAAAUGCGUAGAGAUGGGGGAGAACACUCGUGGCGAAGGCGGCCAGCUAGACCAGUUCUGACACUGAGGCGCGACAGCGUGGGGAGCAAAC
rnacentral:rRNA from 1 species